rnacentral:rRNA from 1 species
AAAUGAAUAGACGGGGGCCCGCACAAGCGGUGGAGCAUGUGGUUUAAUUCGACGCAACGCGAAGAACCUUACCUGGGCUUGAACUGUCGGUAUAGGGACCCGAAAGGGCGACGAUCCCGGGCAACCGGGAAGCCGAUAGAGGUGCUGCAUGGCUGUCGUCAGCUCGUGUCGUGAGAUGUUGGGUUAAGUCCCGCAACGAGCGCAACCCUUGUCUUUAGUUGCCAGCGAGUCAUGUCGGGCACUCUAAGGAGACUGCCUCGGAUAACGAGGAGGAAGGUGGGGAUGACGUCAAGUCAGCAUGGCCUUUAUGUCCAGGGCUACACACGUGCUACAAUGGGCGGUACAGAAGGACGCGAGACCGCGAGGUCAAGCCAACCCUUAAAACCGUUCUCAGUUCGGAUUGCAGGCUGCAAUUCGCCUGCAUGAAGUCGGAAUCGCUAGUAAUCGCGGAUCAGCUACGCCGCGGUGAAUACGUUCUCGGGCCUUGUACACACCGCCCGU